GAUGAAGAACGUAGUGAAAUGCGAUAAGUAAUGUGAAUUGCAGAAUUCAGUGAAUCAUCGAAUCUUUGAACGCACCUUGCGCUCCCUGGUAUUCCGGGGAGCACGCCUGUUCGAGUGUCGCGAUAUUCUUCAAGCCUUGGAUGGAUUUUUUUUUUGUCUGUCCUUGGGCUUGGUUGUUGGGCUCUGCCGUGUCCUUCAUUGGGACGGCUGGCCUUAAAAGCAUUAGCCGAUCCUCGGUUGGUACUGGUUCUACUCAGCGUGAUAACAAUCUGAUCGUUGAGGACAUCUUCUGGAUGGCCAGUCAUCAUUUGGGUUGCUUCUAAACCGGUUUCGCAGAUUGCUCAAUCUGUGUGCCACUUUUCAGCUUUGACCUCGAAUCAGGUGGGACUACCCGCUGAACUUAAGCAUAUCAAUAAGCGGAGGA
rnacentral:misc_RNA from 1 species